GACGAACGCUGGCGGCGUGCUUAACACAUGCAAGUCGAACGGAAAGGCCCUGCUUUUGUGGGGUGCUCGAGUGGCGAACGGGUGAGUAACACGUGAGUAACCUGCCCUUGACUUUGGGAUAACUUCAGGAAACUGGGGCUAAUACCGGAUAGGAGCUCCUGCUGCAUGGUGGGGGUUGGAAAGUUUCGGCGGUUGGGGAUGGACUCGCGGCUUAUCAGCUUGUUGGUGGGGUAAUGGCUUACCAAGGCUUUGACGGGUAGCCGGCCUGAGAGGGUGACCGGCCACAUUGGGACUGAGAUACGGCCCAGACUCCUACGGGAGGCAGCAGUGGGGAAUAGUGCACAAUGGGCGGAAGCCUGAUGCAGCAACGCCGCGUGCGGGAUGACGGCCUUCGGGUUGUAAACCGCUUUCGCCUGUGACGAAGCGUGAGUGACGGUAAUGGGUAAAGAAGCACCGGCUAACUACGUG
rnacentral:rRNA from 1 species